rnacentral:rRNA from 1 species
GGACCAGUAUGUUGGUCGUGCUUCGGUACGUACUGUCAUUACUGGUUUCUCCCUUCUGAAGAACCUUGAUGUCAUUAAUUUGGUGUCUUGGGGAAUCAGGACUGUUACUUUGAAAAAAUUAGAGUGUUUAAAGCAGGCUCACGCUUGAAUACAUUAGCAUGGAAUAAUGAAAUAGGACGUUUGAUUCUAUUUUGUUGGUUUCUAGAGUCGCCGUAAUGAUUAAUAGGGAUAGUUG